rnacentral:rRNA from 1 species
AGAGUUUGAUCAUGGCUCAGAUUGAACGCUGGCGGUAGGCUUAACACAUGCAAGUCGAACGUGAAAGCUCUUCGGAGUGAGUAGAGUGGCGGACGGGUGAGUAACGCGUAGGAAUCUACCUAGUAGUGGGGGACAACAUGUGGAAACGCAUGCUAAUACCGCAUACGCCCUAAGGGGGAAAGCGUGGGAUCUUCGGACCACGUGCUAUUAGAUGAGCCUGCGUAAGAUUAGCUUGUUGGUGAGGUAAAGGCUCACCAAGGCGACGAUCUUUAGCUGGUCUGAGAGGAUGAUCAGCCACACUGGAACUGAGACACGGUCCAGACUCCUACGGGAGGCAGCAGUGGGGAAUAUUGCGCAAUGGGCGAAAGCCUGACGCAGCCAUACCGCGUGUGUGAAGAAGGCCUUAGGGUUGUAAAGCACUUUCAGCGAGGAGGAAAAGUUAGUCGUUAAUAGCGGCU